GAUCCUGUAGCUCAGUUGGUAGAGCUUGGUGUUUGCAAUGCCAGGGUUGUGGGUUCGAUUCCCACGGGGGGCC
rnacentral:tRNA from 1 species